rnacentral:tRNA from 1 species
GUGGGUAUAACUCAGUGGUAGAGUGCAUGCCUAGCAUGUAUGAGGUCCUCCUGGGUUCAAUUCCCAGUACCUCUG